rnacentral:rRNA from 1 species
GACGAAGGUGGCGAGCGUUGUUCGGAAUCACUGGGCCUAAAGCGCACGUAGGCGGUGCCGUAAGUCGGAUGUGAAAUCCCUCGGCCUAACCGAGGAACUGCGUCCGAUACUGCGGUGCUUGAGGAUCAGAGGGGUGCAUGGAAUUUCCGGUGGAGCGGUGAAAUGCGUAGAUAUCGGGAGGAACACCAGUGGCGAAGGCGGCGACCUGGGCCAAUACUGACGCUGAGGUGCGAAAGCGUGGGGAGCAAACAGG